UCAGUCACCGAGCUGGUGCGCGCUUGCGCACUAGACGUCUGCCUCGCGCCCCUGCGCAGCUGGAUCCCUGUGGGUCCACUCUUGGAAUGGGAAUCUGGCUUCAAGUUUCCAGACGGCCCUCAAAAUUUCGAUCCUCCUGCCUCAGCCUCUCAACUGCUGUGAUUACAGUUGCCACCGCGACAAGCUUAUAAAAUGUUGAGGGAACUAUAAUGUGUUGAACAUUAGGAUUAUGCCUAAGGUCCCUGGCUCCUGGCUGCAUCCCCACAACAUCGCUGCUCCAACUUCAGCAGCAACUUCAGGCC